ensembl:snoRNA LOC120096779 small nucleolar RNA SNORA70
CUGCAGCCAGUUAAGCUAAUCAGGUUCUUUUUCUCAGGGGGGCCUGGUGUUCAAUGGCUGCAGGCAGCAGACCCUUGGGAAUGCAUGCAGCCUGUUGCUUGUAUGAGUUCCCCUCAAUAACCCUGAAGAACAUUU